UACGUAGGUGGCAAGCGUUGUCCGGAUUUACUGGGUUUAAAGGGUGCGUAGGUGGGCAGGUAAGUCAGUGGUGAAAUCUCCGAGCUUAACUCGGAAACUGCCGUUGAUACUAUUUGUCUUGAAUAUUGUGGAGGUAAGCGGAAUAUGUCAUGUAGCGGUGAAAUGCUUAGAUAUGACAUAGAACACCAAUUGCGAAGGCAGCUUACUACACAACGAUUGACGCUGAGGCACGAAAGCGUGGGGAUCAAACAGG
rnacentral:rRNA from 1 species